CUGGUGUGUUUGCAGCUAUAAUGCUAAAAUUGGAAUGAUAGAAGAAUGGUAGCAUGACCCCUCUGCAAGGAUGGCAUGCAAAUUAUGAAGCGUUUCGUAUUUUA
ensembl:snRNA U6 U6 spliceosomal RNA